rnacentral:rRNA from 1 species
UACGUAGGGUGCAAGCGUUAAUCGGAAUUACUGGGCGUAAAGCGUGCGCAGGCGGUCCGUUAAGGCAGAUGUGAAAUCCCCGGGCUUAACCUGGGAACUGCAUUUGUGACUGGCGGACUCGAGUAUGGCAGAGGGGGGUAGAAUUCCACGUGUGAGCAGUGAAAUGCGUAGAGAUGUGGAGGAAUACCGAUGGCGAAGGCAGCCCCCUGGGCCAAUACUGACGCUCAUGCACGAAAGCGUGGGGAGCAAACAGG